UACGAAGGGUGCAAACGUUGCUCGGAAUUAUUGGGCGUAAAGCGCACGUAGGCGGCAUUGCAAGUCGGAUGUGAAAUCCCUCGGCUUAACCAAGGAAGUGCAUCCGAAACUGCAGUGCUUGAGUACUUAAGAGGAUCGCGGAAUUCCCGGUGUAGAGGUGAAAUUCGUAGAUAUCGGGAGGAACACCAGUGGCGAAGGCGGCGAUCUGGGAAGAUACUGACGCUGAGGUGCGAAAGCGUGGGGAGCAGACGGG
rnacentral:rRNA from 1 species